rnacentral:misc_RNA from 1 species
AAGUCGUAACAAGGUAACCGUAGGUGAACCUGCGGUUGGAUCAUUAAAGAAUUUUAAAAGGAUGUUUUACUUUAGAGUAAACUCCUUUUAGCUUUAAAUUGGGUUAGUUCUUUCUUUAUGAAAGACUAACUUCAAACCUUGUGUGCAUUGUUAACUGUCUUUGGUGAGAACGAAAAAGGAUUCAUUAGAAUUCUGGAUCACUCACCAAAAUUUAUUUUAAAACUUUGUUUAUUAAAAAGUCUUGAAUUCAAUUAAAUAAAUUGAAAACAACUUUUGACAACGGAUCUCUUGGCUCUC